rnacentral:rRNA from 1 species
GUGGGGAAUCUUGCGCAAUGGGCGAAAGCCUGACGCAGCCAUGCCGCGUGAAUGAUGAAGGUCUUAGGAUUGUAAAAUUCUUUCACCGGGGACGAUAAUGACGGUACCCGGAGAAGAAGCUCCGGCUAACUUCGUGCCAGCAGCCGCGGUAAUACGAAGGGGGCUAGCGUUGCUCGGAAUUACUGGGCGUAAAGGGCGCGUAGGCGGACAGCUUAGUCAGAGGUGAAAGCCCAGGGCUAAACCUUGGAAUUGCCUGUGAUACUGGCUGUCUUGAGUUUGGGAGAGGUGAGUGGAACUCCGAGUGUAGAGGUGAAAUUCGUAGAUAUUCGGAAGAACACCAGUGGCGAAGGCGACUCACUGGCCCAAUACUGACGCUGAGGCGCGAAAGCGUGGGGAGCAAACAGUAUUAGAUCCCCUGGUAGUCC